GCCCCAUGCCCGAAAGGGCAGCAUCGCAAGGUGUCAGCGAGAAGUCAGCAGCGGCCGUAGUAGUGUGAAAACACGAAGGGC
rfam:Candidatus Muproteobacteria bacterium RIFCSPLOWO2_01_FTLL_60_18 rifcsplowo2_01_scaffold_33494, whole genome shotgun sequence.